rnacentral:rRNA from 1 species
UACGUAGGGGGCAAGCGUUAUCCGGAUUUACUGGGUGUAAAGGGAGCGUAGACGGUUAUGCAAGUCUGAAGUGAAAGCCCAAGGCUCAACCAUGGGACUGCUUUGGAAACUGUAAAACUGGAGUGCAGGAGAGGUAAGCGGAAUUCCUAGUGUAGCGGUGAAAUGCGUAGAUAUUAGGAGGAACACCUGUGGCGAAGGCGGCUUACUGGACUGUAACUGACGUUGAGGCUCGAAGGCGUGGGGAGCAAACAGG